rnacentral:misc_RNA from 1 species
UUUUAUCUUAGCCAAAAUGGAUGCUUAAACAAGCAAGAUAGAAGGGAAUGUCUAGCCGAGUUUAACAUCGAAUUUGAGUAUAAACAGGGGAGCUUGAAUCGAGUUGUAGAUGUUUUAAGUUGGAAGUCAAAUGGGUCAACCGAUAAGCAAAUAGCGCAAUUGUCAAGUAGCAGGGUAGCUACCACAUUGCGAGAAUAAAUUUGAAAUAACUUAAAGAAAGACCCCUAGGCCAUAGCUCUAAUAAAAUUAGCAGAAGGAAGACUAGAUAGUUUUAGCUAGUGAAUAAUCUCUUGAUAACUCG